rnacentral:rRNA from 1 species
AUGGCAAUCCUUGACCAUUGCCCUCACCUUGAAUCACUUGACAUACGUAUGUGCUACAACCUCCAAAUAGAUGAUGCUAUGAAAUCAAAGUGUGCUAGAAUUAGAAACCUUAAGCUUCCUCAUGAUCCCAUCUCUGAUUUCAAGUACUGGGCCUACGUUGACAGUGAGGAUUACAGUGAGGAUUACUCUGGUUCUGAUUUUGAGGUUGAUAUGCACGAUGAUUUGCUGAAUGUGGUCAUGGAUGAUGAUGAUGAUGGUGAAUUCAAUUAUGUGGAUGAUUAUGAUGAUGUUGGCUCAGAAUCUGCCAUGUAUGAUGAUGUUGAUGACAUCUAA